AUUGAACGCUGGCGGCAUGCCUUACACAUGCAAGUCGAACGGCAGCACGGGAGCAAUCCUGGUGGCGAGUGGCGAACGGGUGAGUAAUAUAUCGGAACGUGCCCAGUCGUGGGGGAUAACGUAGCGAAAGCUACGCUAAUACCGCAUACGAUCUAAGGAUGAAAGCGGGGGAUCGCAAGACCUCGCGCGAUUGGAGCGGCCGAUAUCAGAUUAGGUAGUUGGUGAGGUAAAGGCUCACCAAGCCAACGAUCUGUAGCUGGUCUGAGAGGACGACCAGCCACACUGGGACUGAGACACGGCCCAGACUCCUACGGGAGGCAGCAGUGGGGAAUUUUGGACAAUGGGCGCAAGCCUGACCCAGCGACGCCGCGUGCGGGAUGAAGGCCUUAGGGUUGUAAACCGCUUUCAGCAGGGAAGAAGCGAAAGUGACGGUACCUGCAAAGAAGCACCGGCUAACUAUGUGCCAGCAGCCGCGGUAAAGUG
rnacentral:rRNA from 1 species